AUGGGUGAACGCGCAGCCGCGGGUGCAAACCGCAUCUGAGGAAAGUCCGGGCACUAGAGGGCAACCUGCUCCCUAACAGAGAGAAGCCUGUAAGGGCUAGUGCAUCCAGAAGAAAAUAACCGCCUGCAACCAGUUUGCAGGUAAGGGUGAGAAGGUGGGGUAAGAGCCUACCGCCAGAAUUGGCGACAGUUCUGAGCGUGGAUGCCCAGGUAGUGCAAGAUCAAAUAGACCUCUUCCGUCGCGGUGCAGACGGACGUGCGGCCCGUGCGUGGGCAUCCCAAGAGGUGGGUAGAUCGCUAGAAUAUGCGCAGUAAUGCCAUAUCCAGAUAGAUGGCUGCGAUGCUGGACGAUACCGCUCAGCGUACAGAACCCGGCUUACAUGCUUGCCCAUGCGC
rfam:Bacteroidetes bacterium 12B contig10835311, whole genome shotgun sequence.